rnacentral:lncRNA from 1 species
AAAAAGAGAAAAUUGUUAGAGAAAGGGAACUUUGGAGAAAAAGAAAAAGACUGGAGGAAGAAAUUCAAGUCAAAAUUUCUAAAGGAGAGAGAAACGAAAUUUGGAAACAAAAAUAAAAUAAAAUAAAAAUUACUUAAAAAUCAAAUAACCAACAUAUCUCAACUCCCCACUAACAUCUCAAUCACAACCACCUUAGAAUCCCAACUCCACUGAAACUCUCUCAGACAACUAAGCAAAAAUUAAUACCUUCGCUCAUGCAGGGAUUGGAACACAGAACCCCC